rnacentral:rRNA from 1 species
AGAGUUUGAUCCUGGCUCAGAAUGAACGUUGGCGGCGUGGAUUAGGCAUGCAAGUCGAACGAGAACCUCGCAAGAGGGGAAAGUGGCAAACGGCGUAGUAAGGCGUAGGUGACGUGCCCCGGGGUCCAGGAUAGCCAUGGGAAACCGUGGGUAAUACUGGAUGACCUCCUCAGAAAUAAAUAUUUGGGGAGCAAAGGUGUGAUUCCGUCCUGGGAGCGGCCUGCGUGGUAUUAGCUAGUUGGUGAGGUAACGGCUCACCAAGGCGACGAUGCCUAGGGGGUGUCAGCGCAUGACCCCCACGACUGGGACUGAGAUACUGCCCAGACACCUACGGGUGGCUGCAGUCGAGAAUCUUCGGCAAUGGGCGCAAGCCUGACCGAGCGACGCCGCGUGCGGGAUGAAGGCCCUUGGGUUGUAAA